rnacentral:rRNA from 1 species
AUUGAACGCUGGCGGCAUGCUUUACACAUGCAAGUCGAACGGCAGCGCGGUCUUCGGUCUGUCUGCGGGUGGCCAACUGGUGAGUAAUUCAUCGGAACGUGCCCAUCUGUUUUUUCUUGCCCGGCGACAUCCGGAUUCUUACCCCAUUCCCCCUGACGGUGUACGCGUGGGACCGAAAGGUCUUGGGCCCUUGCACCAUUCGAUGUCGGAUUAGCUAGUUGGUGGGGUAAAGGCGUACCAAGGCGACGAUCCGUAGCUGGUCUGAGAGGACGACCAGCCACACUGGGACUGAGACACGGCCCAGACUCCUACGGGAGGCAGCAGUGGGGAAUAUUGGACAAUGGGGGCAAGCCUGAUCCAGCCAUGCCGCGUGCGGGAAGAAGGCCUUCGGGUUGUAAAGCGCUUUUGUUCGGGAAGAAAACCUCUGGGCUAAUACCCCGGGGGGAUGACGGUACCGGAAGAAUAAGCACCGGCUAACUACGUG